AGGUCAGGUUAGGAGGCAGGAGCCCUGAGAGGCUGUAGGGACGCACAGCCUGCCCUGGGUGCUGUGCCCUGUUCAAGAUGGGCUAUUUCACUUGAUGAGGCGGCCUGGGGCUAGAAAGCUGUUCUUCCCUGCUCCUCCCUUGCACCUGCUGACCGUCACUCUUUGUCUUCCUAGAUUCCACCGAGGAUCUCCAGGAAAAGCCUCCUUGGAAAGUGAAGGAGGCCUGGAGAGAGCAGGAGAGUGCGACGGUGACCAAUCAGAUCAUCCCAGAAGCGGUUGUAGCUCGUCGCAAGCGAACAGGAGGACUAGGAGCUCACGUGAAAAGACGUUUCAAGUUUCUUUCAGCAGAGCUUCCUAGAGAGAAGUCCACAGAGGAAGUCCUGGCCGUUUUCAAAAGGGACUCAGCGUUUCAGUCAAGCGGUCCCAUGGAGGGUCCCGUGGAAAAAUUCAUCUAUGAAUCAGAUGAGGAGGCCCCACGACAGUGGCAGGUCAGGCCACCUGCUGUUGUCACAGAAAAAGCCGGCGGACUGCCUGAAGAAAAAGGUUCCAGGAAGGAGCCCCUGGAAGACAGCAACAAAGGCUCAGCUGAGGACGCUUCCCAAUAUUUGAAGGUACCAACAAGACCUCUCCCGGCACCUCCAGAAAAGGCAAAAGAGACAAACCCUGAGCAGGCAGAAGAAAUAUACCAACAAGUCCUCUCCCGGAACCUGAAGAAAAAGCAAUAGAGACAAACCCUGAACAGGCAGAAGAAAUAAAACCUAGUGAGCUCAAGGAGGAUGAGAAUGCUGAAGAGCCUGACUCGACCUGUUCUGGCUUUUGUACUUCAUGGUGGAAAUCCCUAAAGAUUUGUCAACCUCCGGAAGGGCCGAAACUCGGUAGAUUUCCCUGGCCCGUCAGCCCUCUGGAUCGUGCGAGUAUUGGAGAAUCCCCUUCCUCUGUAGUUUUUUUUGGCCUUCUUUAAUUUUUUAAAAAAAUAUUCUUACUUUAACAUGUUUACUUUUAAGACAGAAGCUGUCAUUGUGUCAUCAUAGCUUACAUUUUAUUGCUGAAGUAAUUUUUCCAUUGUUUUAUUAGGUUUUUUUGGAUCUUUGUCCACUCAUUUUGGAGUUUUUGUAAUUUUGAUAGGUGUUCUUUUAUGCUUUGUAUUGUUUUCUUAAUGACUUUUAGCUUAGUUUUUAACAAAUCCAUAGUACAGUAAGUUAUAUUAAGACAGUAUUUCAGCCAGGUGCGGUGGCUCACGCCUGUAAUCCUAGCAGUUUGGGAGGCCGAGGCAGGCAAAUCACAAGGUCAGGAGAUCGAGACCAUCCUGGCUAAGAUGUUGAAACCCUGUCUCUACUAAAAAUACAAAAAAUUAGCUGGGUGUGGUGGUGGGCACCUGUAGUCCCAGGUACUCGGGAGGCUGAGGCAGGAGAAUGGCAUGAACCCAGGAGGCAGAGCUUGCAGUGAGCCAAGAUAGCCCCACUGCACUCCAACCUGGGGGACAGAGUGACACUCCACCUCCAAAAAAAAAAAAAAAAAAAAAA
rnacentral:lncRNA from 1 species